rnacentral:sRNA from 1 species
AAACCCCGGCCACGCCCGGCAGCGCGUUGCGCCCCCGGGCGCGUUUUGC